UAGGGAAUCUUCCAUAAUGGACGAAAGUCUGAUGGAGCAACGCCGCGUGAGUGAAGAAGGGUUUCGGCUCGUAAAACUCUGUUGUUAAAGAAGAACAUAUCUGAGAGUAACUGUUCAGGUAUUGACGGUAUUUAACCAGAAAGCCACGGCUAACUACGUGCCAC
rnacentral:rRNA from 1 species